UAUAUAUUAAUUUGACUUUGGUUUUGUUUUUAAUUAUUAUAAUUUUAUACAUGUUAGGUUUAUUUAAUAUAUAUAUAUAUAUAUAUAUUGCGCUUUUAUGUUGAUAUUUAUUUUGUAUUUAUUAUAGUAAAGUUUAAUAUUUAUUAUAAGGGUACUUUUAAUUUAAUAUUAAGUGGUUUUUAAUAUGUUAAUUGAUAUUUCAGUAUAUUUAUUUAUACAAUAGAUGAGAGUUUUAUAUAGAAAUUAUAGAUUAUAAUUGGAUAAAUUUGUGCCAGCAUCUGCGGUUAUACUUAUAAUUAAGAUUAAAAGUUUUUGGUUUAAAGUAAAGUAAGACAAUUUUCUUUUAAAAGAAAAUUAUAUAGUUGGUUUUUUGGUAAAAUUUUUAGAAUUAGCUUGUUUGUUUAUGUUUUUCUUUAUUGUUAAUACUUUGAAAUUUUGAAAAUAAACUAGGAUUAGAUACCCUAUUAUUUCUUAUUGUAAAAAUUGAUUUUGUUUACCUAAGUAUUAUGAAAAUGACUAAGAUAGUUAGUUAUUGAUUGUUGUUUAAAACUUAAAAGGUUUGGCGGUUUUACAUAUCCAGUUAGGGGAGUUUGUUAAUAUAAUUUGAUAAUCCACAUUUUAAACUUACUUUUUUUUGAAUUAUAUAUAUAUAUAACGGUUUAUAUAUUGCUGUCGGCAGUUUAUAUUUUAAGAAUAAAAGGACUUUUGAAUUUUAGGAUUUAUAUGUCAAGUCAUAAUGUAGCUGAUAAAGAAGGUUUAAUGGACUACUAUAAUUUAUAUUAUUUACUUAUCCGGAUAAUGAAAAUUAAAUUUUGUUAGUAAGGUGGACUUGAUAGUAAACUUGAUUAUUAGUAUGUGUAGUUGAAUGUGGUUUUGUAAAGUGUACAUAUCGCCCGUCACUCUUGUUGUUUAAAUAAGAUAAGUCGUAACAUAGUAGAGGUAAUGGAAAUUGUUUCUGGAGGAGUAUAUAAUA
rnacentral:ncRNA from 1 species